rnacentral:tRNA from 1 species
GACAACAUGCCCGAGUGGUUAAGGGGGUAGACUUGAAAUCUACUGGCUUCACGCCGCACAGGUUCGAAUCCUGUUGUUGUCG